rnacentral:rRNA from 1 species
CCUACGGGCGGCUGCAGUGAGGAAUAUUGGUCAAUGGACGAGAGUCUGAACCAGCCAAGUAGCGUGAAGGAUGACUGCCCUAUGGGUUGUAAACUUCUUUUAUAUGGGAAUAAAACAGGGUAUGCAUACCCUCUUGUAUGUACCAUAUGAAUAAGGAUCGGCUAAUUCCGUGCCAGCAGCCGCGGUAAUACGGAGGAUCCGAGCGUUAUCCGGAUUUAUUGGGUUUAAAGGGAGCGUAGGUGGAUUGUUAAGUCAGUUGUGAAAGUUUGCGGCUCAACCGUAAAAUUGCAGUUGAAACUGGCAGUCGUGAGUACAGUAGAGGUGGGCGGAAUUCGUGGUGUAGCGGUGAAAUGCUUAGAUAUCACGAAGAACUCCGAUUGCGAAGGCAGCUCACUGGACUGCAACUGACACUGAUGCUCGAAAGUGUGGGUAUCAAACAGGAUUAGAUACCCCAGUAGUC